GACGAACGCUGGCGGUGUGCUUAACACAUGCAAGUGGUGCGACGAACCAGGCUUCGGCCUGGGGCAAAGCCGCGAACGGGUGAGUAACACGUGGGUAAUCUGCCCCGAUGACCGGGACAACCCGAGGAAACUCGGGCUAAUACCGGGAUGUGGUGCCCAGACAUAAGUCUGGUCACUAAAGGUAGCUUCGGCUUCCGCAUUGGGAGGGGCCCGCGGCCCAUUAGCUUGUUGGUGGGGUCAAGGCCUACCAAGGCAACGAUGGGUAGCUGGUCUGAGAGGACGAUCAGCCACACUGGGACUGAGACACGGCCCAGACUCCUACGGGAGGCAGCAGUGGGGAAGUCUUGCGCAAUGACGAAAGUCUGACGCAGCGACACCGCGUGGAGGAUUGAAGGCCCUAGGGUCGUAAACUCCUUUUAUCAGG
rnacentral:rRNA from 1 species